GAUGAACGCUGGCGGCGUGCCUAAUACAUGCAAGUCGAGCGAACAGACGAGGAGCUUGCUCCUCUGACGUUAGCGGCGGACGGGUGAGUAACACGUGGAUAACCUACCUAUAAGACUGGGAUAACUUCGGGAAACCGGAGCUAAUACCGGAUAAUAUAUUGAACCGCAUGGUUCAAUAGUGAAAGACGGUUUUGCUGUUACUUAUUGAUGGAUCCGCGCCGCAUUAGCUAGUUGGUAAGGUAACGGCUUACUAAGGCGACGAUGCGUAGCCGACCUGAGAGGGUGAUCGGCCACACUGGAACUGAGACACGGUCCAGACUCCUACGGGAGGCAGCAGUAGGGAAUCUUCCGCAAUGGGCGAAAGCCUGACGGAGCAACGCCGCGUGAGUGAUGAAGGUCUUCGGAUCGUAAAACUCUGUUAUUAGGGAAGAACAAAUGUGUAAGUAACUAUGCACGUCUUGACGGUACCUAAUCAGAAAGCCACGGCUAACUACGUG
rnacentral:rRNA from 1 species